rnacentral:SRP_RNA from 1 species
CGCCCGCGGCACUGGGAGUUUCCGAACCGCGUCAGAUCCGGAAGGAAGCAGCGCUAAGGAUCGCUCUCAGGUGCCGCGGCUUCUC